rnacentral:rRNA from 1 species
GAUGAACGCUGGCGGCGUGCCUAAUACAUGCAAGUCGAGCGAACAGAUAAGGAGCUUGCUCCUUUGACGUUAGCGGCGGACGGGUGAGUAACACGUGGGUAACCUACCUAUAAGACUGGAAUAACUCCGGGAAACCGGGGCUAAUGCCGGAUAACAUUUAGAACCGCAUGGUUCUAAAGUGAAAGAUGGUUUUGCUAUCACUUAUAGAUGGACCCGCGCCGUAUUAGCUAGUUGGUAAGGUAACGGCUUACCAAGGCAACGAUACGUAGCCGACCUGAGAGGGUGAUCGGCCACACUGGAACUGAGACACGGUCCAGACUCCUACGGGAGGCAGCAGUAGGGAAUCUUCCGCAAUGGGCGAAAGCCUGACGGAGCAACGCCGCGUGAGUGAUGAAGGUCUUCGGAUCGUAAAACUCUGUUAUUAGGGAAGAACAAAUGUGUAAGUAACUGUGCACGUCUUGACGGUACCUAACCAGAAAGCCACGGCUAACUACGUG